AUUGAACGCUAGCGGCAGGCCUAACACAUGCAAGUCGAACGCGUGGCGCACGGGUGAGUAAUGUCUGUGACACUGCCUGAUGGAGGGGGAUAACUACUGGACACGGUAGAUAAUACCGCAUACCAUCGGAUGGGUGCAGAUGGGAUUAGCUAGGAGGUGGGGUAAAGGCUCACCUAGGCGACGAUCCCUAGCUGGUCUGAGUGGAUGACCAGCCACACUGGAACUGAGACACGGUCCAGACUCCUACGGGAGGCAGCAGUGCGGAAUAUUGCACAAUGGGCGCAAGCCUGACGCAGCCAUGCCGCGUGUAGGAAGAAGGCCUUCGGGUUGUAAAGUACUUUCAGCGGGGAGGCGUUACCCGCAGAAGAAGCACCGGCUAACUCCGUGCCAGCAGCCGCGGUAAUAC
rnacentral:rRNA from 1 species